rnacentral:rRNA from 1 species
GACGAACGCUGGCGGCGGGCUUAACACAUGCAAGUCGAACGGCAAGGCCCUGCUUUUGUGGGGUGCCCGAGUGGCGAAGGGGUGAGUAACACGUGAGUAACCUGCCCUUGACUUUGGGAUAACUUCAGGAAACUGGGGCUAAUACAGUAUAGGAGCCCCUGUUGCAUGGAGGGGGUGGGAAAGUCUCGGCGGGCGGGGAUGGACGCGCGGCUUAUCAGCUUGUUGGUGGGGUAGUGGCUUACCCAGGCUUUGACGGGUAGCCGGCCUGUGAGGGUGACCGGCGACAUGGGGACUGCGAGAGGGACCAGAGUGCUACGGUGGACAGCAGUGGGGAAUAUUGCCCAAUGGGCGGGAGCCUGAUGCAGCAACGCCGCGUGCGGGAUGACGGCCUGCGGGUUGUAAACCGCUUUCGCCUGUGACGAAGCGUGAGUGACGGUAAUGGGUAAAGAAGCACCGGCUAACUACGUG